rnacentral:rRNA from 1 species
AUAAUGGGUCAGCGACUUAUAUUCUGUAGCAAGGUUAACCGAAUAGGGGAGCCGAAGGGAAACCGAGUCUUAACUGGGCGUUAAGUUGCAGGGUAUAGACCCGAAACCCGGUGAUCUAGCCAUGGGCAGGUUGAAGGUUGGGUAACACUAACUGGAGGACCGAACCGACUAAUGUUGAAAAAUUAGCGGAUGACUUGUGGCUGGGGGUGAAAGGCCAAUCAAACCGGGAGAUAGCUGGUUCUCCCCGAAAGCUAUUUAGGUAGCGCCUCGUGAAUUCAUCUCCGGGGGUAGAGCACUGUUUCGGCAAGGGGGUCAUCCCGACUUACCAACCCGAUGCAAACUGCGAAUACCGGAGAAUGUUAUCACGGGAGACACACGGCGGGUGCUAACGUCCGUCGUGAAGAGGGAAACAACCCAGACCGCCAGCUAAGGUCCCAAAGUCAUGGUUAAGUGGGAAACGAUGUGGGAAGGCCCAGACAGCCAGGAUGUUGGCUUAGAAGCAGCCAUCAUUUAAAGAAAGCGUAAUAGCUCACUGGUCGAGUCGGCCUGCGCGGAAGAUGUAACGGGGCUAAACCAUGCACCGAAGCUGCGGCAGCGACACUAUGUGUUGUUGGGUAGGGGAGCGUUCUGUAAGCCUGUGAAGGUGUGCUGUGAGGCAUGCUGGAGGUAUCAGAAGUGCGAAUGCUGACAUAAGUAACGAUAAAGCGGGUGAAAAGCCCGCUCGCCGGAAGACCAAGGGUUCCUGUCCAACGUUAAUCGGGGCAGGGUGAGUCGACCCCUAAGGCGAGGCCGAAAGGCGUAGUCGAUGGGAAACAGGUUAAUAUUCCUGUACUUGGUGUUACUGCGAAGGGGGGACGGAGAAGGCUAUGUUGGCCGGGCGACGGUUGUCCCGGUUUAAGCGUGUAGGCUGGUUUUCCAGGCAAAUCCGGAAAAUCAAGGCUGAGGCGUGAUGACGAGGCACUACGGUGCUGAAGCAACAAAUGCCCUGCUUCCAGGAAAAGCCUCUAAGCAUCAGGUAACAUCAAAUCGUACCCCAAACCGACACAGGUGGUCAGGUAGAGAAUACCAAGGCGCUUGAGAGAACUCGGGUGAAGGAACUAGGCAAAAUGGUGCCGUAACUUCGGGAGAAGGCACGCUGAUAUGUAGGUGAAGUCCCUCGCGGAUGGAGCUGAAAUCAGUCGAAGAUACCAGCUGGCUGCAACUGUUUAUUAAAAACACAGCACUGUGCAAACACGAAAGUGGACGUAUACGGUGUGACGCCUGCCCGGUGCCGGAAGGUUAAUUGAUGGGGUCAGCGCAAGCGAAGCUCUUGAUCGAAGCC